rnacentral:tRNA from 1 species
GGCGGUGUGGCGUAGUGGCUUGAGUGUUGGACUACAACUCUGGAAACCAGGGUUUGAUUCCCUGCUCAGCCC